rnacentral:ncRNA from 1 species
GCUUCCAUCUCGGCUGUUCCGCGUCAGCCCUUAGGUCUUCUUCGACCCGCGCACGCUCCGUUGAUUGGCUCCAGCGUGUGCUCUCCUUGGCCGACAGGUCCGGGAAACCCGUUGAACCCCGGUCGUGCUAGGGAUAGGGAAUUGCAAUUAUUUCCCUUGAACGAGGAAUUCCCAGUAAGCGCGAGUCAUUAGCUCGCGUUGAUUACGUCCCUGCCCUUUGUACACACCGCCCGUCGCUACUACCGAUUGAAUGGUUUAGUGAGGUCCUCCGAUUGGACCCGGUCCGGGCGGCGACGUCCGAGCCGGCGUCCGAGAAGACGAUCUAACUUGAUCAUUUAGAGGAAGUAAAAGUCGUAACAAGGUUUCCGUAGGUGAACCUGCGGAAGGAUCAUUA